rnacentral:rRNA from 1 species
GAGUUUGAUCAUGGCUCAGAACGUACGCUGGCGGCACGCCUAACACAUGCAAGUCGAACGAAGUAGCAAUACUUAGUGGCAGACGGGUGAGUAACAUGUAGGUAUCUACCCUUUGGCCUGGAAUAACACGAGGAAACUUGUGCUAAUACCGGAUAAGUCUUUACGGAGAAAGCUUUAUGCACCAUUGGAUGAGCCUGCACUUGAUUAGUUUGUUGGUGGGGUAAUGGCCUACCAAGACUGUGAUCAAUAGCUGAUUUGAGAGGAUGAUCAGCCACAUUGGGACUGAGACACGGCCCAAACUCCUACGGGAGGCAGCAGUGGGGAAUCUUGCACAAUGGAGGAAACUCUGAUGCAGCGAUGCCGCGUGAGUGAAGAAGGCCUUUGGGUUGUAAAGCUCUUUCGUCGGGGAAGAAAAUGACUGUACCCGAAUAAGAAGGUCCGGCUAACUUCGUGCCAGCAGCCGCGGUAAUACGAAGGGACCUAGCGUAGUUCGGAAUUACUGGGCUUAAAGAGUUCGUAGGUGGUUGAAAAAGUUGGUGGUGAAAUCCCAGAGCUUAACUCUGGAACUGCCAUCAAAACUUUUCAGCUAGAGUUUGAUAGAGGAAAGCAGAAUUUCUAGUGUAGAGGUGAAAUUCGUAGAUAUUAGAAAGAAUACCAAUUGCGAAGGCAGCUUUCUGGAUCAUUACUGACACUGAGGAACGAAAGCAUGGGUAGCGAAGAGGAUUAGAUACCCUCGUAGUCCAUGCCGUAAACGAUGUGUGUUAGACGUUGGAAAUUUAUUUUCAGUGUCGUAGCGAAAGCGAUAAACACACCGCCUGGGGAGUACGACCGCAAGGUUAAAACUCAAAUGAAUUGACGGGGACCCGCACAAGUAGUGGAGCAUGUGGUUUAAUUCGAAGAUACGCGCAGAACCUUACCAACACUUGACAUGUUCGUCGCGACUUUAAGAGAUUAAAGUUUUCGGUUCGGCCGGACGAAACACAGGUGCUGCAUGGCUGUCGUCAGCUCGUGUCGUGAGAUGUUGGGUUAAGUCCCGCAACGAGCGCAACCCUCACUUUUAGUUGCCAUCAUUAAGUUGGGCACUCUGAAAGAACUGCCAGUGAUAAGCUGGAGGAAGGUGGGGAUGACGUCAAGUCCUCAUGGCCCUUACGUGUUGGGCUACACACGUGCUACAAUGGUAUCUACAACAGGAAGCAAGACGGCGACGUUAAGCAAAUCCUUAAAAGAUACCUCAGUUCGGAUUGCACUCUGCAACUCGAGUGCAUGAAGCUGGAAUUACUAGUAAUCGUGGAUCAGCGUGCCACGGUGAAUGCGU